rnacentral:misc_RNA from 1 species
GGGGCUGUCNUACUACUGAUCNGAGGUCAACCUUGAGAAAGAUUCGGGGGUGUUCGUCCGGCGGGCGGCGCCCAAGUCCUCCAGAGCGGGGUGUAUUGACUACGCUCGGAGCUGGGCACAGCCGCCGAUGGGUUCCGGGCCCGCCCCGCGAGGGGCGGGGGCCCAAUACCAAGCAGAGCUUGAGGGUUGCAAUGACGCUCGAACAGGCAUGCCCCUCGGAAUACCAAGGGGCGCAAUGUGCGUUCAAAGAUUCGAUGAUUCACUGAAUUCUGCAAUUCACAUUACUUAUCGCAUUUCGCUGCGUUCUUCAUCGACGCCAGAACCAAGAGAUCCGUUGUUGAAAGUUUUAAACUUGUUAUGAUAUUACUCAGACGCUCCGGUUUCGCAAGGGUUUUGUGGUGAGUCCCCCCGGCGGCGCCCCUCNGGAGGAGNNGGGCGCCGCCCGCCGGACGACCGCCCCCGAAUCUUUCGCAAGGUUUGACCUCGGAUCAGGUAGGGAUACCCGCUGAACUUAAUCAUAUCAAUAAGCGAAGGAANCUCNNCUCGGUNUUGUUCCUUCCUCNGGUUUCUUUCCUNUU